ACACUGAUGGUUCAGUAGUAGAAUUCUCACCUUCUAUGUGGGAGGCCUGAGUUCAAUUCCCAGCCAAUGCA
rnacentral:tRNA from 1 species